AUAGAAUUUAGAACAGUACCUGAUGCGUAGUUAAUGCUCAACAAGGGUGAGCUACUGUCGAGAUACAUAACAUGUAAAUGUUGAAUCUGCAUCUCACUUGAAAUGGUUGGGUUUGGAGAAACGGAUAGUCAAGCUUAUUGGAAUUAUUGUUAAAAAAGUAAUUUGAAGGCCUUCCCUGACUUAAAGUGGAUGCUGCUUUGGAAAGCACUGGAAAAAUGGAUCCUGUCUUUCUUAGCCAAGGACUGGUCUCUUUUCUCCAAUGUGUCCCUAACAGAGUGGUGAGGCUGGCUCUUCCCACCAGUACAGGAAGAUCAUUCCUUAAAAGAAAUAGCCAUAUGGCUUAUAAGGCUGCAGUGCAAUGGUGCGAUCUCGGCUCACUGCGACCUCUGCCUCCCGGGUUCAAGUGAUUCUUCUGCCUCAGCCUCCCAAGUAGCUGGGAUUACAGGGACUAUAUCUUAAGACUAUGUGUCUUCUGCAGUUCUUUGCAUAGAGUCAACGUUGAAGGACAAGCAACUUCAAAUUUCCAAGCAACAAAAUUAUGUUCGGGUGGUUUUCUGAAAGCGAGAUCUUAAGAACCACCUGUAUCAGAAUCCCAUGAAGAGCUUGUUUAGUGUGCAAAUUUACAGAUUGUCCCCCCUCAGAAAUGCUCAUUUAGGAGUUCCUGUCCUUUGCGGGGACAUGGAUGAAGCUGGAAACCAUCAUUCUCAGCAAACUAACACAGGAACAGAAAACCAAACACUGCAUGUUCUCACUCAAAAGUGGGAGUUGAACAAUGAGAACACAUGGACACAGGGAGGGGAACGUCACACACCAGGGCCUGUCGGGGGUGGGAGGUGCUAAAAGGAUAAUACCAAGGAAAACUAUGGGUGGGGGCAGUGAAUGGCCAGCAUGCCUAUAAUCCCAGCACUUGAAGCCAGGAGUUCGAGACCAGCCUGGGAAACAAAGCAAGACCCUGUGUCUAAAAAAAUUUUUUUAAAAAUAAGCUGGGCAUGGUGGCACGUGCCUAUAGUCCCAGCUACUCAGCUACUCGGGAGACCAAGACAUGGAAUAAACUUGACAAGUGCUAAAGAUGCUCUUUGAUUUUUGUGUGGCAUGAGACCUCAGGCUGAAACUUCUCAUCUGAGCCAUUGAAGGGAGCCUCUCAUCUCUCCACCGAGAGGGGAGACCAGAAUGGCUCCUUCAGGCACAUUCUGUUGGGCUUCCCUCUACCUCCCCACUCUGCUGCUUCCCCGCUCUUUUUGAAUUUCUCCCUGUUGAGGAGAGGGAAGACCAGCUAGGAGAGGAUCUGGAUUGAGAAACUUGCCAUGCUUUUCUCUCAGAUGUUCUCUUUUCUCUGAAGACAGCAGGACCUCAUCCAAAGCUCUGUUUCUGGCAGGAAUCUGACACCACUUACUCCUUGGGUAGAAACUCCCCCAAGUCUGAACUAUGUGAUUGCCUGAGCCCUGCUUCUUGUUCAUUAAGACUGCUCCUCUGAAACGGAAUUGAUGAAUUUUUAGUGGCUAUUAGAAGCAUUUGGGAUCCAUAGGCAUCAGGGUUUGAUGCAUGGCCCUCAUCUCUGUGGGCUCCUGUGCAAUGAUUCUCAUCUGUCUUAGUUAGAAAGUGAAUUAAUCUUGACCUUGGCCUCAGGGGUGUGGUUCUCUGCCCUCUUACACAUCUUCAAUUCGCUUCUUUAUCAGAAGCACUUGUUUUAGGCCCAGGCUCCCCCAAUUUUAAUGACAUUUAGACAUUUGUCUUUAAGUUACAUUGCUUUGAUUUUAAUCAAAAUCUAUAUUUCUAGUAUUAUAUGUUUCCAGAAAGUUCUCAUUCUGGAUUGUAAUUUAAUUACAUGGAUCAUUAAAGCUUUGAAGGAUGCUAAUGGGCAGAAAAAAGAGACUUAACAAAACGAAAGUUAUUAUUAGGAAUUACAAAUCACUUAACAUUUCAACAUCACUCGUCGGAUGUGGGCAUUUUGUUGAAAGAGACCUUGUUUUGAACAGUGACAGUGCAGAAGACCUAUGGAAGAAACAAGCUUCCAACUUGAUUUCUAUUGUUAUGCAUGCAUAGCAAAUUAUUAAUUCUAUUCUAAUAGGGUAAUAGAUUUAGAAAUACUAUUAGCAGAAAACUUGAUGUAUUAGGCAAUACUACAUACCACAUUAGUCUAACCGCUCAACUGUAAUUUUUCAUCCAUACUUUCUUGGGAUGUAAAUAAAAUUGAUAUUAUACAAUGAAAAUAAAA
rnacentral:lncRNA from 1 species